UACGUAGGGUGCGAGCGUUAAUCGGAAUUACUGGGCGUAAAGCGUGCGCAGGCGGUCCGCAAAGUCUGAUGUGAAAGCCCCGGGCUCAACCUGGGAACUGCAUUGGAAACUAACGGGCUCGAGUGUGGCAGAGGGGGGUGGAAUUCCACGUGUAGCAGUGAAAUGCGUAGAGAUGUGGAGGAACACCGAUGGCGAAGGCAGCUCGCUGGGACGUUACUGACGCUGAGACGCGAAAGCGUGGGGAGCAAACAGG
rnacentral:rRNA from 1 species